GUCGUCACAAACCAUUCGAUCUCGGAAUAUUAUUUGCAGAGAGCUAUAGGUUGUUUUCGGCUACUCUGAUCCUUAUAGACAUCAUAAUGAACGACGGUAGACCAAAACGGAGCCCGAAUCCAAGCCCUAAUCCCAACGGGAAUGAUCCCAGACCAAAACCGUUAUGGUUCGGAGUAUGUCCAAUCAUCGUAGUUGGCAUAGGCGCAGCCAUGGCGCUGUUUAUGGGGUUCCUGUUCUACUCCAACUAGCAUUCUGUCCAGACAGCAUGCGCAGCAGGAGAAUCAAUGUAUACGGAAAAGCAAAUAUUUGACUUCAUACCAAACACAGCCCACCCUCAUAAACUCAAACUACAGCUGAGUCCUCAAAUGGACUUUAACAAGGACAAUCAGAAAUCAAGAAAGCACGAACACAUCACCCCUAACAUAAGAGAGCUCCACUGGCUACCGGUGCCGUAAACGAAUUGAAUAUAAGGUCUUCAGACAUCACAAAAGCAAUCCACCACUUUGCACCCACCUGCAUCAAAGAUCGUCUUCAAAAAGGCACUGUCAUUACCCCCUCCAUUUUGCCUCGAACCGACUCACCGAACUUAAACCGUACACCACCCACCGUCCAGUAUUGUCGCGCACUGCAUCACAUCCAUUCUGCUGCCUCAACCCAAGUGUGCCCAAUUUCAUAAAGCAUGUAAGCACAAAAACCUGCUAAGCACAGGAAAGUCUUACUAAUAGCAAAAGUUUGUUACCGGCCAAGACUCCUUAAAGUUUACACUGUUGCGACUGGUGCUCCACUCAUUUUGUGCUUAGCAGAGGAAUUUGUCUAGCAGUAUUUUCUGCUACAAACAGCUUUUUUGAAAUUGGGCCCGUGUUGUAUAUAAUUCUCGUACAACCCACUAUGGCGACCAAGCACCGUCUCUCAUUGCACCCAGCUUUGUGGAACGAUCUACCCAGCGACAUCAUCAACAUUGACUCUUCAAAACAUUUCAAACUCAUUCUACGUAACUUCAUUUUACCGCAAGUUAUUAACAUUCAUGUUUUGUGUUGUAAUUGUAUGUAGAAAGCUUGCUACUUUGUGGAAUCUUUCAUAUACCGCCUUCAGUAAAUUUGUAGCAUAAAGAUUGAUAUAUCGGCUUGUAUUUAUGUUAUUAAGUAAAGGCAUUGUCACACACACAGGGCAAUUUAACAGCCAACUUGGAGUCAGCUACUAGCACUGAAUGCAUAUGGAACACUCCAACAGAACACUUUAGCUGUAAUCACUUUACGUGAAAAAUAAUGAAAACGUUAAUUAUGAAUGAAUUUCCUUAUUGGACAUUGCAUGUAGCUUGUUGCCUGUAAUUUGCCUGGACUUUAAAACUACAACAUCGCGACAAAAGUCGACCUGGAAAGCAAAGCACAUUGACAAAUUUGCGGAAGCCAUGUGGAAGAUGGACAUAAUUUAAGAGAAGAAAAAAAAAAGAAUUCCAGUAUGUUGAACUGUUCAUACUGCUUUUAGAUUACAUUGCACAUCUCUCACCUUUUCUAUUAUCUACCCAUAUUUAUUGAGUGUAAAAAUUGGUUAAGUUUCCGUCCCCAACUCUCUCAGGCCUUCCCAUUAUUUUAUUCCCAUUCUUUAGUUAACAAGCAAAUAUUGACAAUAACAUAAUUGCAACACCUACCACUAAAGACGUUUGAGAUCCCAUCAUGUAAAAACAAGAGUAAUUUUUAACAAGGAAGUAAAAGUCCUUUAAAAUGCUGUAUAGUCAAUGUCCCUGCCCAUAUACCUGCAGCAACUUUGUACUUACGUCGCACCAGGGCGUUGUCAGGGAAGACGACACCACUGUGGCCCUAUUCGAAACCACGGCUUCGGCUUUGGAUUCUUGUUCAGGCUCCUUCAUUCGGCUGACGCCUUUAGCACGUACGCAAAGAACGCGCAAUUGUCAAAUCAGUCGCGGGGUCAAGUUACCCUGAGCCGAAUCUGGAGCCGAAACAGUGGUUUUGAAAAGGGCCUGUAAUAAUUAACAUUACAACAAAAAUGCAGACGACUGUUCUCUGGCUUAUUGCUCGUACAUUACUAGCUACUGUUUUGCUUUGUAGUCCACACAUUUGUAGCAUUUUCCCCAAAGUAUCAUCAGCCUGUUAAUGCAAAGUAUACGUUUUUAUAACCAGUACAUUUCAAGGUUUUGUUUUUAUAAAUUUGUAUAGUUUAGUCAGAGCAGAUAAAGUCGAUUCUACGCGUCAUGGUUUAUGAAAAAAUGAGUUUUUCAAAACGAGUGCCGAAAAAAGACGCCGUGCGUCAUUUUCAAACAAAGGUGGAAUGUUCAGCAAUACUGGUUAAAGUUACAACGCUCAUACAAAUAACAACUAAAAAGAAUACAUUUUAAAUGCCGGGUAGACGCUAAUCAGUACUUAUAUGUUGCAAAGUUGAAUUUUCCCUUCCAAAUGUCGUCCAUGAUUAAUGCUUUACCUGUACUUUUUUGUUUUAAUAUUAAGCAUUCGUGCAAAAAGUUGCUCAUUCACGUUACGUUUUGUAUUAUUUUAACAGAAACGAAAUAAAAAUGCGUUGCCGUCAAUGACAA